rnacentral:sRNA from 1 species
GUCAUGACCCCACGGUUAAAACCGGGGGCUUGUAAAAGCCCUGCUCAUGACCAGCCUCAGAAAGCCUAGGCAGCUAGGCAAUCUACGUUUAGAAGGUCAUGGCACCUACGAAUGCUUUCCAGUUCGUAGCUCUGCCGUCGCGCAUCCGCUGUCCGCCAAGGAAGUGCGAAGCGCGAGGCGGAUAGCCCCCGGUAGGCGCAGGGCGCGAGCGUGGCCGCCGCCAGGCG